UGCAAGUCGAGCGGGGGAAGGUAGCUUGCUACUGGACCUAGCGGCGGACGGGUGAGUAAUGCUUAGGAAUCUGCCUAUUAGUGGGGGACAACAUUCCGAAAGGAAUGCUAAUACCGCAUACGUCCUACGGGAGAAAGCAGGGGACCUUCGGGCCUUGCGCUAAUAGAUGAGCCUAAGUCGGAUUAGCUAGUUGGUGGGGUAAAGGCCUACCAAGGCGACGAUCUGUAGCGGGUCUGAGAGGAUGAUCCGCCACACUGGGACUGAGACACGGCCCAGACUCCUACGGGAGGCAGCAGUGGGGAAUAUUGGACAAUGGGGGGAACCCUGAUCCAGCCAUGCCGCGUGUGUGAAGAAGGCCUUAUGGUUGUAAAGCACUUUAAGCGAGGAGGAGGCUACUAGUAUUAAUACUACUGGAUAGUGGACGUUACUCGCAGAAUAAGCACCGGCUAACUCUGUGCCAGCAGCCGCGGUAAUACAGAGGGUGCGAGCGUUAAUCGGAUUUACUGGGCGUAAAGCGUGCGUAGGCGGCCAUUUAAGUCAAAUGUGAAAUCCCCGAGCUUAACUUGGGAAUUGCAUUCGAUACUGGAUGGCUAGAGUAUGGGAGAGGAUGGUAGAAUUCCAGGUGUAGCGGUGAAAUGCGUAGAGAUCUGGAGGAAUACCGAUGGCGAAGGCAGCCAUCUGGCCUAAUACUGACGCUGAGGUACGAAAGCAUGGGGAGCAAACAGGAUUAGAUACCCUGGUAG
rnacentral:rRNA from 1 species